CCCAUUGUGGCAGAACCCUAUUGCAAAAGAUUUAGAAUCUUACUAACCUUUA
rnacentral:tRNA from 1 species